rnacentral:rRNA from 1 species
AUUCUAGAGUUUGAUCAUGGCUCAGGACGAACGCUGGCGGCGUGCCUAAUACAUGCAAGUCGAACGCUUCUUUCCUCCCGAGUGCUUGCACUCAAUUGGAAAGAGGAGUGGCGGACGGGUGAGUAACACGUGGGUAACCUACCCAUCAGAGGGGGAUAACACUUGGAAACAGGUGCUAAUACCGCAUAACAGUUUAUGCCGCAUGGCAUAAGAGUGAAAGGCGCUUUCGGGUGUCGCUGAUGGAUGGACCCGCGGUGCAUUAACUAGUUGGUGAGGUAACGGCUCACCAAGGCCACGAUGCAUAGCCGACCUGAGAGGGUGAUCGGCCACACUGGGACUGAGACACGGCCCAGACUCCUACGGGAGGCAGCAGUAGGGAAUCUUCGGCAAUGGACGAAAGUCUGACCGAGCAACGCCGCGUGAGUGAAGAAGGUUUUCGGAUCGUAAAACUCUGUUGUUAGAGAAGAACAAGGACGUUAGUAACUGAACGUCCCCUGACGGUAUCUAACCAGAAAGCCACGGCUAACUACGUGCCAGCAGCCGCGGUAAUACGUAGGGUGCAAGCGUUAAUCGGAAUUACUGGGCGUAAAGCGCACGCAGGCGGUUUCUUAAGUCUGAUGUGAAAGCCCCCGGCUCAACCGGGGAGGGUCAUUGGAAACUGGGAGACUUGAGUGCAGAAGAGGAGAGUGGAACUCCAUGUGUAGCGGUGAAAUGCGUAGAUAUAUGGAGGAACAUCAGUGGCGAAGGCGGCUCUCUGGUCUGUAACUGACGCUGAGGCUCGAAAGCGUG